GACAACGUGGCCGAGCGGUUAAGGCGAUUGACUAGAAUUCAUCCGAUUCUAAGUUACUACACGUGGCUACUAUCAAUUGGGAUUUUCCCGCGUAGGUUCAAAUCCUGCCGUUGUCG
rfam:Puccinia sorghi strain RO10H11247 Scaffold_2126, whole genome shotgun sequence.